rnacentral:snoRNA from 1 species
GAGCGAUGAUGAUAAAAUACUCCAACCUGAAGUGUGUUUAUUAAAAAUACAUUUCAUGAUGGUUUCUACACUUGAACUGAGCUCA